rfam:Triticum aestivum genome assembly, contig: Triticum_aestivum_CS42_TGACv1_scaffold_211702_3AS
AUUCUACUCCCUCCGUUGCACAAUACAUGCCUUCUAUUUGUCAAAAUAUAUAUGUAUCUAGACAUGUCUUAGUAUAUAGGUACAUCCAUUUUUGGACAAAUGGAAGUUAAGUAUUUUGGAACGGAGGGAGUACACA